rnacentral:tRNA from 1 species
AGAUGAGGUGGCGGAAGACCUAGUCCCUCAGAUGCCUAAUCUGAGGGUCGCGCGUUCGAAUCGCGCCGGGAUCACCA